rnacentral:lncRNA from 1 species
CUCAAUAUCCAAUUUAAUAAAAUCCAAUUAUCUUUAAACACAACUAAAUUGAUCACAACUAAAAUUAUUUGUCCUAUGUUAGGGUAGUUCACUGCACUUACUUUAUAAUAACCUGAUGCAUAACCUGCCUUCAAUUUUUCACCACCUAUGUCUUAAUCUAUGUGAUAUGGACCAUUAAUAAAGUUGUGAUAUCUCAUUUUUGUAAUAGGUUCAUGUACUUAAUAAUAUGACUAUUUGGAUUAUAAUACCAACUUAGGUAUUCUCCACAUAACCUCUAUAGGCCAUAAUACUAUCUCAAGUACCCACACACAACCAUAAUAGCUCCACGAUAUCAUACAUAUAUUCACAUACAAUAUAUAACAGUAUGUAUAUCAUACAAUUACAUGUAACUUGCAUCUCAUCAUCAUCAUCAUCACCAUCACACACACACUCACACACAUAUAUGUAUAUUUAUAACCAAAAUACUCAUGAAUAUCACCAAACAACCAUACCACCAUUAGGUGCACAUCGCCUGAGCGACCUUGUUUCCUCACUUGAGCAAUCUUGUUUUCUCGCUUGAGCGACCUUGCCUUCUUCACUUGAGAGACCUUGCUUUCUUCGCUUGAGCGACAUCAACUAUAUAAAAGAGAGAAUUGAUGCAAUCAGUUUAUUGCUAGAACACCCUUUUAUCACUUGAGCCACCACCCUUCUCUCGUAUUGUUCAAGUAUCACAUUGAAACUUGAGUGAGGAGCAUUGUUUAAUCCAACAAGUUUCAAACACAUCAUUCACCACUAUUACCUCAACGUUUGAGAAACCACUUUGUCCCUUGAGUGUUGGAUUGGAAGUCAUAGAGGAGAAAGAAUUUUCACAAUAUCUUUCGCACUCAAGCUUCAAGUUAUACCUUAAACGACAUGUACUCUUGCUUUAGCAUCGAUGAUGGUGUUUGAGUGAUCUUGAGCAAUGGAUGCAAUGAUUACUUAUCACUUGAGUGAUAUUUCAACACUCUAAGUGAUAAACAUCCAUAUUACUAUAACCCAACAAUAUGUUUUAACUCUCCAAAACACUAAUUUUACAUUCAAUAAGCGUAUCACUUUAGCUCAAAAUAAUUAUCUCAAACUCUAAAUGCAACUUAACAUAAGUUAAUACAAACGUCAUCAUCAUUCCUAAAUAAUUACCACAUCAAUAAAACUUCAUCUCAACUAACAACAUCAACACGGUCUAAAGUAUUUAAAUCAAUUUGAAUGAAGUAGAUGUAAAAAUUGAUUCACCUUAUGGAGGUAGUGUGUUUUUUAAGUCAAACAACUCCAUUAUCCAACAAUUUCCUUAUAGAUAGAUAGAAAUUCAACUAUCACAAUAAUCAAUAAUCCCUCCUUAAUCAAACCAACAUUAAUUUUAGGUUCCCAAUCCCACAUAAAAGAAAAAAAAGAAGAUUGAAUCAAUUAAAGAACUGAAAACUUACUCUAAUCAAAAUUUCAAUCAAUUUAUCUUGAUAUGUUCUAUGAAGAGAAUGAAUGACUUAUCUACUUAAAAUUUGAGAGAAU